GUUCACUGCAGUGGCGCUCGUGUCCUUUCAGCCCACGUGAAUUUCAGCAGUGCGCGAAAUAUGACUGCGUGAAAAAAUCCCAGACUUUCGACGACUGCUCCUCACACACGUCAUCCAUUAUUAUGCAAAAAGGGAAAGGUAAAACACCUAAACUGGACAGUUUGUGGCACUUGAUUUACAAACAAGUUCUACUCGUGAGUCUUGCACUUGAAAGCUUGGAAUGAAUUAGUUGUUACAUAAGGCCUCUUAAGUUAAGCAUGCCGGUCACCAAUCCUCUCACACGCACAAUUAACAAUAAAUAAUUAAAAUAAACGACAACUCGUUUCUUUAAGGCAUCAUAAUACUCGUGGAGGGACUAAGAUAUCGUCCAUUGCAAAACAGCGGUGUCUUUGCCUCCUAUUGACACUAAUCUCGUGUCGUCGUGCAAGAAGUUUACGGCCAUUACGUGACUGCUGUGACCCCCGUAAGUGUGACACAACGACUGCAAAAAUAUCUCUCACAUAAAGUAACAACAAAUUGAAACUUACCCGAGGCUGCGAGGCCGGAUAACUGUAUAGCUUCACUUUGCCAAAAUCAUCAGCACUUGCCAGCAGUUUCCUAUCAUGACUACGAUCACAGAAAUUUACAUCAGUACCAUCAGCAUUCUCCGGCCAGAUCCCGAUGGUACUAAACGUUAUGGUACAGUUAUUGGUGGCCCAGUCCACGUCCCGCAUCACGCCCGUCUGCGGGAUCUGCCGACAAGUGGUCGCAUUCCCUAAAAAAUAACAUUUUGAGGCCUCAAAGCAAAAUUCAAUUAUUCAAUUAUUGAAAGAACAUUUUUAUGUAAAAUUGUACAAUUUUUAUUCAGAAGCACGAUCUUUGGAAAUAUUUUUCCUAGUUCUUGUUUUGUAUAAUCUUAAUAAAACACUUUUAUUUU